CCCGAGCGUAGUAUGCUCGCCCUCUUUUUUGGGCGUGCAUGCAAUUUUCCGCUAUGCAUCCGUGACCUAUGGUUUAGGGUUUAUGCACCCCUGCUCGUCUCUAACAAACUUCGGAACUGAAGGUCGAAGUACCUGUGGUUUAGGGUUUAUGCACCCCUGCGCGUCGCUAUGCAUCCGUGACCUAUGGUUUAGGGUUAAUGCACCCCUGCGCGUCACUAACAAACUUCAGAACUGAAGGUCGAAGUACCAGUGGUUUAGGGUUUAUGCACCCCUGCGCGUCUCUCUCUAACAGUACUUCCAAACUACAACUAUCUUCCCCUU
rnacentral:lncRNA from 1 species